rnacentral:rRNA from 1 species
UACGGAAGGUGCAAGCGUUGUUCGGAUUGACUGGGCGUAAAGCGCACGUAGGCGGGCUUUUAAGUCGGAUGUGAAAUCCCUGGGCUUAACCUAGGAACUGCACCCGAAACUGAAAGUCUUGAAUGCUUGAGAGGUUAGUGGAAUUCCUGGUGUAGGAGUGAAAUCCGUAGAGAUCAGGAGGAACAUCGGCGGCGAAGGCGGCUAACUGGUGAUGCAUUGACGCUGAGGUGCGAAAGCGUGGGGAGCAAACAGG